AGAUUGAACGCUGGCGGCAUGCCUUACACAUGCAAGUCGAACGGUAGAGUAGCAAUACUUGAGAGUGGCGAACGGGUGAGUAAUAUAUCGGAACGUGCCCAGUCGUGGGGGAUAACGUAGAGAAAUUUACGCUAAUACCGCAUACGAUCUAAGGAUGAAAGCGGGGGACCGUAAGGCCUCGCGCGAUUGGAGCGGCUGAUAUCAGAUUAGGUUGUUGGUGAGGUAAAAGCUCACCAAGCCGACGAUCUGUAGCUGGUUUGAGAGAACGACCAGCCACACUGGGACUGAGACACGGCCCAGACUCCUACGGGAGCAGCAGGUGGGAAUUUGGACAUGGGCAAAGCUGAUCCAGCCAAUGCCGCGUG
rnacentral:rRNA from 1 species